UGUUCUCCUAUGGAACACAAAGUACCUGAAGUGGAAUGAAGAAGCCCAUGUUUGAGGCCUGCGCCCUGGCGGGAGCAUUGAAGGGGCAUCUGACAGGUUACACAACGCUGAUCUAUCCAGGACGGCUUCAGGAUGGACUAUAAGAAGGAGGUUCAGUCCCGAUUGGGUCCGGCGCAACCUCAGGGAGUACAUAUACAGCGGCCUUGGUUUACGACGACGCACAAUGGCACAAAGAAGAACUAAGAGCAGCGCUCUGGAGACUGAACAACCUCCUGAUGCGGAAAAUGAAUGGAUCGC